GGCAGAAUGGUGUAGUGAUUGAGCACGCAGGCCACGGCUCCUACGCCAGAGGGUCUGGGUUCAAAUCCCGGCCCUGUCA
rfam:Pongo abelii chromosome 11.